UGGCGCGAGACCGUGCGCGCGAGUUUGAGAAGGUCCACGGGCACCACAGCCCCGGGACAGCGCUUCUCCAGGAACUCUUGGAAGCCCUGGACGCCCAUGCUUCGUCGGUGGGCAGACGAGACGGCGGCUGCGCGAGCAGCACCCCUUUUCUACCACGUUCUCUACCUUAUCCUCAUGGUUGCAGCAAGAGCCAUCCUUUAUGUACCUUCACAGAGAAUUUGGGAUUGAGCUGGAGAGGAGAUGAAAAAUCCUGGCUGCAUUCAAGCACCUGAUUUAUUUAUUCCUAAGGCUCCAUGCCCAACAUGGGGCUUGAACUCAUGACCCCAAGAUCAAGACCUGAGCUGAGAUCAAGAGUCGGAUGUUUACCCAACUGAGCCACCCAGAUAAAGAUUCAACCAAAGACACAAACCUGGAACCGGCCCCGCUGAAAUGAUCCACUCAUCACUUUACAUCUACUCAAAGCCCUAGUAUCAGCCGUGGACUCUCCUGUCAGAGGAAUGGGGUCAGGAGCAACUGCUGAUCUCAUAUCUUCUGUUUCCACUGCAAGUUUUACGUGAUUGUAAGCAGAAAAGAGAAAAUUGUUUGUUAAGACUAAAUUUGUUUACAUUACCAAAAAAUGAAGAAAAGUAGAAAAAGCUUAACCCCUGCUAGAUAAUUAAAAAGUGUUAAUGUAAUAAGCAACACUGUAGAAGCCCCUAACUCAAAAUCAGACAUUGUAGGAUUUAUCCCGAAACUUAGUAUCUACAUGAAAUGAAUAACUGUAAAACCAAAUUAGUUACAAAAGGAAAAAUAAAAUGGCAAUGACAUUUAUGGGACAUGUCACAUACAUGGGCUAUGUGGAAAAAGUGAUAAGGUUUGUAUAUGAACAAACAAACAAACAAAAAAAAAGAAGUAAAUGAAAAGUGAUGUUACCUAGUCUAUGUCCCUGACUGUAAGCACACUACCUUGACGGACUUUUGAUCUCUUGAAAAAGCUGGUUGACUGCCGUAGCCUGUAUGCCCAGCUUUUUAAUUUGCGAGUCCAGGAUUUCU